UACAGAGGGUGCAAGCGUUGUUCGGAAUUAUUGGGCGUAAAGGGCUCGUAGGCGGCCAACUAAGUCAGACGUGAAAUCCCUCGGCUUAACCGGGGAACUGCAUCUGAUACUGGAUGGCUUGAGUUCGGGAGAGGGAUGCGGAAUUCCAGGUGUAGCGGUGAAAUGCGUAGAUAUCUGGAGGAACACCGGUGGCGAAGGCGGCAUCCUGGACCGGCACUGACGCUGAGGAGCGAAAGCCAGGGGAGCAAACGGG
rnacentral:rRNA from 1 species